rnacentral:rRNA from 1 species
AGAACGAACGCUGGCGGCAUGCCUAAUACAUGCAAGUCGGACGAGAUCUUCGGGUCUAGUGGCGCACGGGUGCGUAACGCGUGGGAAUCUACCCUUGGGUUCGGAAUAACAGUUGGAAACGACUGCUAAUACCGGAUGAUGACGAAAGUCCAAAGAUUUAUCGCCCAAGGAUGAGCCCGCGUAGGAUUAGCUAGUUGGUGAGGUAAAGGCUCACCAAGGCUACGAUCCUUAGCUGGUCUGAGAGGAUGAUCAGCCACACUGGGACUGAGACACGGCCCAGACUCCUACGGGAGGCAGCAGUAGGGAAGUAUUGGACAAUGGGGGCAACCCUGAUCCAGCAAUGCCGCGUCGAGUGAUGAAGGCCUUAGGGUUAGUAAACGCUCUUUUACCCGAGAUAGAUAAAUGACAGUAGACGGUAGAAGUAAGCGUACCCGGACUAAACCCGUCCGUACGGUCCCAAGGCCUACGGACCGUCC